rnacentral:lncRNA from 1 species
ACCUGGAGCGGAAGUCAAACCAUGCUCGACUAGUCCUAACCCAUAUACUUAGGGUCUAGUCAGCCUUUUGCUCUAGCACAUAUACCUAGAGUGAAAUCCUUACCCGAUCGAGCUCUAAUACAUAUACUUAGAGUUCAAAUCCGACUACCCCUAAUACAUAUACUUAGGGCUUAGUCAGACCUUCAUUCUAGCACAUAUAACUAGAGUGAAACUCGGUUAAUCCUGAUACAUAUACUCGGGAAUUAGCCACUCUCCACUUUCGGGUAAUUCGACCCACCUCAAUACAUAUACUUGAGGUCUGGUCACAUCUCCACCUUGGAACAUACAACCAAGGUGAAUAUAAUCGGACUCUAAGACAUAUACUUAGAGCCAAUUAGACUCUAAUACAUGGAGUUUAAUAUCGACUAGAUCUUAACACAUAUACUUAGGAUCUAGUUCGACCGACUUCAAUACAUAUACUUGAGGUCUGAUCACAUCUCCAUCUUGGAACAU